CCCAGGCAUGGUAGAAUAAAUAGAAUUAAGAAGUGCAUGUCGCCAACACCUUUGACAAAAAAUAUAGUAACCCUAAUAUUCCUAAUAAUAAAUAAAUAUAAAUACCAUUGAAACUUCCACCGAAAUACCAGCCAAACACAAUCGCCAUGAAUCAAAUUUAAUUCUUUAUUGUUCACUUGAACUGUACAUUGUUCUUGGCCGUCUGCUCAGUCGCACUUGAUGUGGCGCCCAUUUUUUGUAAGCUAUAUUUUAUAACAAAAGACAUUUGGUUGUAGCUGCAACCGAUAUGAACUUCCACGCUGCUAAGCUGCUUAUAACACCGCAUUAUCGAAAAGAACUCUUCUUCGUCAACUGUACACGACUGAGCAAAGCUAUAAGCCAGUUCAUUCGUUAC